UGUCAGUGUACACAGCACCUCGCCGUCGGUCAGUUAGCAAACAUUAUAAUUAGACAUUAAAUAACUAGCAUCACAUAAUCCCGUAUGAAGCUAGUUAUGGGCUUUGUAUUUGCUACAUUCAGCUACGUAUGCAAUCCAUCAUAGCUAGCUACUGUUUCAAAGCUAAUGACAGGAGAAUUCCACUCCCUCUCAAUUUUCAAAAUAAAAAUGUAUUUAUACCUUAAACGUUUUAUAUAGUACAAUGCCACGUGUUAUAAGGGAUAUUGUUAUUGUGGUCAUAGUAAGACACUGCAGCAACAUAACACAAAUGACUUUUUUUGUUAUUUUCAAAACGUUUGAACACUUAUUGUUUAAAGGACACAUUUUAAGCUUGUAAAUUGAAGGUAACAUCAGCUAACUUCCGGUACGUUAUUUUUUUUGUGUGUGAGGGAAAACGCCAAACCUCUUCACAAAAAUACGGUAACGUUAAUUAAAAGUCACUCUUAGGAUGUAUGUACUAAUUUUACAACAUGUACGUAAUUUAUAAUAUAUAUUUGUAGGAUACACUGGUUAAUUCGGCACUUCUCUCCCCCCACUACAGUUUGGUGGAAGAGGGAACAUGUAUUAGGGUGGAUGUUCUCACUACUGAAACACGACCACUAAGUUACCUUUUGUACAUAAAAAAAUCUUAAUUUUAGCUAUACUCAAUUGUAUGCAAUGUCAGCUAUUGAUUAUGUACAUUUUCAAAUGGUAAACAUGAAAAACACUUCCACUAACAUGGUCAUCUUAAACCUGAAUAACAUUGAGUCGCAACACAAAUCUUGCACCCGCCACAAACUGCAGCGCAAGUGUCACUUUAAGUGUCACUUCCAACUGACGCAGUUGUCAUUUUCAUUCCCAGCACCCACUUUGUUUAAAUAUGCACUUGCGACCAUCUGUGCGCCCAGGGGAGUGUUGGGCUUACAAUGAGGUGUGGUCAGACAAAUUGUUGGCGCAUUGCUCUCUUGAGGCAGCAGAAAGUGAUUGUGCCUUUGACCAAAAACCAAAACGGUGUAAGGGGCGUAUUACUCUGAUAGUUGGAUGAUCUUAAGAGAGACUCUUUGCGCAUAUCUGCACGAGGAACAGCAGCAUAACUUCAUUCAUAUUAUAUAAUUAGGCCUAUAAAUCCCCCACACGCUAAUGUUAAUUCAUGUUCUGUGUUCUUCUACACAUCCACAAGGUCUGACACAUGGUCCAGGCUCAUUCAGUGGAACUGUUUGGGUAAAGCACCCGUCCUCCUGAUCAAUCCUGAGGUCAAAAUUAUUUCAGAAGCUAAAAGUUGAAUUGUGUUUUCUGUGCCCUGGCAUUUCAAGUUUAUAACAACAGUUUAUAGUUUAAAAUGACUGACAGCACUCUCUCUAAUCAUGAAAGUAAAUCAUUAAAGAAAACAGUCAUACAUCAAUAAAACACACAAUAAAGAACCCACUGGAAGAGAAAGGUGUGACUCAUGACCGGUUCAUAGUUUCUAAUAAUUCAGCGCAGUGAGGCUCCAGGCGUUUCAUAGAGGAGAUGGUGUCUGUCAGUCUGUUCAGACUCCAGUCUGAAGUGGAGCUGAGACACGUCACUGAUAAACCACAGAGCUGCAGAGUAACAUCAGGCUUCAUGAUCAGAGAGGAUUUUUAUCACGUCCACACUUCUGAUCCUCUCUCUGCUGUGAGUUUGCAAUUCAAUCAAUCAAUUGAAGUUUUUCAUAAUGCGCCAUUUAUUCACCAUUAUAAUGGCAAUGCACCAAGGUAAACUAGCAAAAUAGGAGUUGGACACACUGGGCCCUAAAACUCUGAUCUUGUAAGCAAGGUGAAAAAACUACUUUAAAAGGGAGAUGAUGGUCCAGUGUUUUAAACAACCAACUGUAACAAUAAGAUAAAUGUUCCUGCGGAGACAACUGGUUUGUCUGUUAUCAAAUUCAUUGUUAGUCACAUUCCUGAGUGAAUAAAACACUGCCUCAUACACCAUUAAUGUUAACAUAAAGUCCCAGGUCGCUUGCAUGUGGAGGAGCUGCUUAAAUACACUGAACCAAACGCAACACUUUUUUGUUUUGGCCAGUUGUUGGCAUGUUUUGAGGGAGCGUACAAUUGGCAUGCUCACUGCAGAAAUGUCCACCAGAGCUGUUGUGCGAGCUGUUGUAUGUUCAUUUCUCCACCAUAGCAUCUUGAUAUGCCACACCUGUGACGUGGAUGGAUUAUCUCGGCAAAGGACAAGUUGUAAAAUAGUGUGAGCAUUUUGUUAAUGAUAAGCAAACACUAUGAUGUGAUGUCACAUACUGUAACUGCAUAUUGGAUUUCUUUUGCAAUUUCCUGUCUGUAAUUUUAACCUGUGACCUUGUGUCUUUCUGGUGUCAUUGAUGGAUUGGUUGAACUUUUGUUUAAUGAUUGUUAAUAUCUCUUGCCAGAUACACCCCAAAUACAAAACACAUCAAAAGGUUAAAAACACAAUAAAGCCCAACGGCUUAUUUCCAUUGUGGUCCUUUUUGGGGAGGAAAGGGGUAGGAGCCUCUUAAAAAGGCAGCAAGUAUGUAGCUAGCAGCUUCUAAGUAUGCAUACUUUCAUUUAAUAAUAAAUAAAGUUCAAUGACAGUACAAUAUACAAUGAUAUUAAUCCAUACACAUUAUAGUACAGCUAGACUGUAUGGGGAGUUUGGCCUAUUAACUCCCAUCGUUUUCUAUGAGGAGUGGCUUGGGAGAAGCACGUUGGAAUUGUGGGAGAAAGUAAACUCAGUCAACUUGAUGGGGUGAAACAAAGCUGUACAGUAUAUAAUCAAACAAUAAAGCUUAAAUUAGCCGAGCUACAGGUGUGCCAAAUGACAUGAAUAGGCAAAAUGAAGUGUUGGAGUGUAUGGAGUCAGGCCACCACAAGCCUCCAGAAUAGCUUCAAUGCUCCAGAUUUCAAGUCUGUGAAUCAAUACUGGAGGGGUGAACAUCAUUCUUCCACAAGAUAUUCCUUCAUUUAUUUAAUUAAUCAGAUUCAAGGCAGAUCGAUUUGCCCACACCGACACAGGAGGUUUGUGCUCAGGAGCAGCAGAUACAGAAGGAAUGUAUUCCCAGUGAGGCCAACGAGGAACCAGUCAUCCCGCCCUUUAAAGAGGAACCGACCGAACCCUGGACCAGCUCUGUGGAGACACCUGUAUGUCCAGCAUACAGCAGCAUUACUGACACACUAACUCAGAUUGUCACAGUUGGAGAACACGAAGAAAAUGAGAUGCCAGACAACCUGACACAAGUUGUGACAGUUGGAGAGCACUGCAAAUACGAAGCGCCAGAGAGCCUAACUCAAGUCAUAACAGUCGGAGAGGACAUCGAAUACAAGAUACCGUCACAAGAUGACCAACCACAACCAUCCUUUGGAGUAUCGCCACUAUAUACAAAGAAGAAAAACAUGUUUUUUUGUAAUUUCUGCUAUCGGCCUUUUCUGAAAAAAGUCGAGUUAAAGUUGCACCUUGCAACUCAUGCAUCUAAAAGUGUGCCAAAGGCCACCAACGUAGCGUUCACCUGCUUUGUCUGUGGUAGAAUAACAGACACCAGGAGUCAAAUGAUCAGCCACAUGAGAGCGCACACCGGCGAGAAACCAUUUGCCUGUCCCAUUUGUGGCAACAGAUACAAACUGAAAGGUCAUAUUAAAGAACAUAUGAGGACUCACACUGGGGAAAGGCCGUACACCUGCUACAUCUGUGGGAAAAGCUUCAACAGAUCUUCCACCAUGAGUAAACACGCCAGGAUCAAGCACAGGGAGAACAUGCCGUUCAAGUGCAUGCAGUGCGGCCAGCGCUUUCCCCUGCUCGUUGUGUUCAAACAGCACAUGAAGAUGGUCCACGAUGUCACCUUCUCCGUAUGAGAUACCGCUACUGUGGAAAUGUUGAUGCUGACUACUGGUUAAAGCUCAGAAGUUACUGAGUCUGGUUUCUGAUGUUGAUGGCUUGUUUGUAGGUUUCUAUUUUAUAAUUGUAUGUUUAUUCAAUUUGCUGCUGACAUGCUUCCCCAAAUAAGCACUUAUGAUCUACUGCACUAAUCAACUCACCCUAACCCAUGCUGUCAUUACAAUCGGUAUUAAAUCUAACCUGCUUAGUAGAAAUAUACACAAACAGUCAACGUACCAAGCAAAUACCUAACCAACAAAAAAGCGAUACACGCAUAUAAUCAUUAAGGGCACUUUAAUUACUACAAAAGUACAGCUUUGUUAUUGAUAGUUUUACUUCCUUACUUUAAUUCAUAUGUCACUUAUGCAAUAUGUUGCCUUUAAUGUCCUGUUUUUGAAAAGUGCAAUGCCAAUAAAGUUACAAUUCAAGAUUAACAAACCCAAAUCCCAAACCCAACUGUUGAGUGGUAGUGUCGCAUUGUGGGAAAUGUAGGCACUGGGUUUUGACAAGUAAGAGGAAUGUGUGGAGGAAAAUGAGGAAAAAGUUCUGCUGCAUUAAUUUUUAGCCCUUUUCUGUAAUGUCAAUCAUGACUCUGAUAAUGUUGUAGGAGUCAAAUGCUGAAUUGGUGCAGUACUGUGACCAUGACAUUUUACAGCUAGAAAUUCUGAAAAAAGUCUGAUGGACAAUGCUAUGGCAUAACAUCUUUCUGUACUGCAAUUCUUGUUACUUACCAACCAAUUUGUCAAUACCAAUAUGUGUGAUAAGCUAAAUUUUGCUAAUAAUAAUAUGCUAAUGUAUCAUCGUGCUCGAAUUGGGAUUGUAUUGGGAUUUUAUAGUUUGAAUUGCACUAACCUGAGUUGAAAGAUACUAUACAAAUAAAGUUUGACUGAUUGAACAUGC